rnacentral:rRNA from 1 species
UACGUAGGGGGCAAGCGUUGUCCGGAUUUAUUGGGCGUAAAGAGCGUGUAGGCGGCUUGGUAGGUCCGCUGUGAAAACUCGAGGCUCAACCUCGAGAUGUCGGCGGAAACCACUUGGCUAGAGUCCGGGAGAGGAGAGUGGAAUUCCUGGUGUAGCGGUGAAAUGCGCAGAUAUCAGGAAGAACACCCGUGGCGAAAGCGGCUCUCUGGAACGGUACUGACGCUGAGACGCGAAAGCGUGGGGAGCGAACAGG